CAGACGAAACUGUAUGUUUGAGAACGGUGAAAACUGAAAAGUGUUUCAGUGGGUAAUAAUUUGUUUGUUACGUAAAGAAUUUGACUGGGAGUCUGAGAAACUGAGACAAAAAAACGAGCUAUCUUGAUUUUGAACUUAGUCUUACAGCUAAAGAUUGCAUUAAUUUUGUACAACUAAACAACCAACGGUGAAUUUUUUCAGUGUUCCCGACUGAAAUUACUUCCUUUUCCAGUCAGUGGUCAUGAUUUGGUGAUCAUAUUAUAUUUUGAUUAUCUUUCCCAUUAUUCUUCCCAUUCCCAAAAAAUCAUGUUCACUUCACUCAAAGGUAUAAAGAUUGCCAAAGUUAUUUAUCUACAAAACCAACCUAUUAGGAAGUGUACCACACUAUCAAACACAAGUUUUAAAACUACUUCCAAGAAGAAAUGGGGUCUUUUAUUUGCAACUGCUAUUGCUGUACCUGGUAUCUGGUAUAUUCAGGCUGACAACCAGCAACAACGAAAGGUCAGGGUUACGGUCCAAGGAAUUGGUAGAUUCCUAAGAUCACUUGUAAUUGGAACAACCAUAUCUACAGACUACUGGUGGUCAUUAAGAAAUAUUGAUGAAGAUUCAAUACAAUAUCAGCAGGAGCUGAAAAAAACUCAUCAGCGCACUGCUAACCGGAUUCUAGAUGGCUGUCUUAGCAAUGGUGGACUGUAUAUCAAACUUGGUCAAGGCCUAGUUUCAAUGAAUCACAUUUUACCAAAAGAAUAUCUGGACACUCUUAAAGUUCUGCAAGACAAAUGUCUUGCACGAGGUGCCAGUGAAAUUGGGCAACUAUUUAAUGAAGAAUUUGGAAAGGAUCACAAGGAAUUGUUCAAGUCGUUCGACGAAGAACCUAUUGCUGCUGCCAGUUUGGCUCAAGUUUUCCGAGCCAAAUGCCAAGAUGGAAAAGAAGUUGCAGUUAAGGUUCAGUACAUUGAUUUGCAAGACCGGUUCAAUGGUGAUAUUGCGACAAUUGAAAUACUUUUAGAACUGAUAAGUUGGAUGCACCCGAAAUUCGAAUUUAAAUGGGUGCUUAAGGACUUAAAGGAAACCCUUUGCAAGGAACUUGAUUUUCUAAAUGAAGGCCACAAUGGUGAAAGAUGUGCCAAAGAACUAUCUUCGUUACCUUACGUUUACGUACCCAAAGUCUUCUGGGAUUUGACGAGCAAGCGAGUAUUGACUACAGAAUUUAUUGACGGGAUCAAAGUAAGCGAUACCAGUUCCUUAGAGAAGGCAGGACUCUCGAUAAAGGAAGUCAGCCACAAGCUGAUUGAAACGUUUGCUGAACAAAUAUUUCAUACGGGUUUUGUCCAUGCCGAUCCCCAUCCAGGAAACAUCUUGGUCCGCAAAAGGAAGAAAGGUGACGCCGAGAUUGUUCUGCUGGAUCAUGGCUUAUACGAAGAGCUUCCAUCGAAUGUACGCAAGUCUCUUUGCCGGCUGUGGUCCUCAAUUGUACUCAACGAUCAUGCCGGAAUGAAACGCCAUGCUGCCGAACUUGGAGUUAACGAUUACCGUUUAUUCUGCAUGGCCGUGUCGCAGCGCUAUAUCUCAGCGCCGCCCUGGCCAACUGACGGUGAUUCAAUAAGUCAGGUCUUUGGGAUGUUUUACGAUCACAAAGGGCCAAAAGCGGGCGAAUGGCAGAAGAGGACAACCGAACAACGCCAGGCAAUACGAAUUCAAAUGGAAGAAAUUCAUGAGCGGAUGAUGAGCAGCUUCCGGGCAAUGCCCUCUCAAUUGAUGCUCAUAUUUAGAUUAUUUGCUCUUCGCCGAAAUGCUUCUUCAAAGACCAGUUGGAAAUCAAACUCCCAAUUUGACCAAUUUGAACCAACUUUCUGAAAGUGAUAUGAAGUACAUGCAGGAAAUGGCAGCGCAGCGUUUCGACAUGAUCAUGAACAAUCUUCGUUCGAUGCCAAGAACGAUGCUUUUAACUAUUAGGAAUAUCAAUACUGUUAGGGCAAUAACUAAAGACCAUGGAAGUCUCGUCGAUCGAUACACAUUGAUGGCAAGAAGCGCCACACGAGGAUUUUUCAUAGUUCCAGGGGCUUCAUUCCGGCAACGUCUUCAAGGAGUCUGGCAAC